CAGCAGCCGCGGUAAACCGUAGGGGACAAGUGUUAUCCGGAUUCACUGGGCGUAAAGCGCGAGCAGGUGGUGCUUUAAGUUGGGCGUGAAAUCUCCCGGCUUAACUGGGAGGAGUCGUUCAAUACUGGAGCACUUGAGGGCAGGAGAGGAAAGUGGAAUUCCCGGU
rnacentral:rRNA from 1 species